CCUCGGUGCCAGAACAGAAUAGAGUCUUGAUGUGCAUCUACCUCUAACCCUGAGCGAUGGUGGGACCAGAUCGUCAGAUAUCAAGAUAUCAGAUCGUGGAAUCACGUCUCCUUCUUGCUGUUGGUGAUCUCCAAAUCCUGCCUUUUUUUCGCCCUCGGAUUCAUCCUGACACUUUUUCUGCUGCUCUGCAUGAUCACUUAAGAUUUACAUCACUAAAACAAUUCUAUCCAGGAAUAAUUUUUGCUUCAGUGUUUAAUCUCUGGUGGAUUUUUAAGACUUACAGUAUACCUAAGAGCUGCCGUUAAUACUGUCUGUGUUCAGAAAUAAAUGUCUUUGUCAUGUCUGAGUC